rnacentral:rRNA from 1 species
UACGGGGGGGCAAGCGUUGUUCGGAAUUACUGGGCGUAAAGGCUCGUAGGCGGCCAACUAAGUCAGACGUGAAAUCCCUCGGCUUAACCGGGGAACUGCCUCUGAUACUGGAUGGCUUGAGAUUGGGAGAGGGAUGCGGAAUUCCAGGUGUAGCGGUGAAAUGCGUAGAGAUCCGGAAGAACACCGGUGGCGAAGGCGGCCUGCUGGGCAGUUGCUGACACUGAGGCGCGACAGCGUGGGGAGCAACAGG